CUGGACUCAGGGUUCUCUGCCAUUCACUCGUUCUGGACUUCUGGUUCCCAGCACGAUUAGGGUUCUAGGUUCCCAAAUUAGCGUUGUCGCUGAAACACAGAUGCGGCAUGCCAGCCGCCGGCCCGCCGUGGUCCCUUCCCUUCUCCGGUCAUCCGCUCAUCUCGCCGGCAGCCGUCGCACUUUGGCUCCACAGAAAUCAAGGAGUGCGUGCGAGUGCAUGCGGACAGCCAACGACGACAUAUUCUUGGAUGACAUCCAUUGGUCACAGUGAUGAGUCGUAACAAAAAAUCAACAUUGGCCCAAGGUUCUGCAGCAGCAGGAAGAGGUGCUGGAAGCACGUAGGAUCAGAUCGAGUUGAUGCUUGAAGUGCGUGAGAAAAUGACUGCUAGCAUGCAUGCUAGCCGUUGGCAUAACACCCAGCUGAUAGAGAGAUUUUAGUAAGGAGUAGAUGAAUCGUUAGACUUUUGCAUGUAAUAGAACUGGAAGAUCACUUCAUAAUUUAGGAAACAUGUAUGUUGUUAUAUUUUGUAUGUUCAUCAUACAAAUCGUGUUCCAAACAAAUAUAUGUUGGAAUCCAAAGUCAAAGGUCGACCUCACUUGUAGUA